CAUCAGGCAGCUAAAAUGGCGAUUUUCAAACUUUCCUCGAUUUCGAAAAAACUAAAGCGCUUCAAGACCCUUAAAUGCUAUUUUCGAACACAACUCACUACACAGGUUAUUUGGGCAAAAUAUGACGAAAUCGAAAAUUUCGCGACUGUCAUCUCAUUCUCGGUAUUUACAGGAACUGGCUCUUAAGCGCGUUCCAGACGGUGAAUUUUUUUGAAAAUUGGCACAUGGAUAGGAGUUUUCUUUUUCUCGCUGUUAAGCAAAAAUCAUCAAAUUUUAUACACACAUUUAUGUAAUAUGCGUCAAAAACGAAAAUUGCGAAUUCCUCCGAAAAUUAUGUACAGAUUUUCUUGUAGCUUUGUCAGUUGAAACUCCUUGUGUGUUAACUGUCUUUCCCCCAAAAGAAAGAAAAUUCACCGUGUAGAAACCUAGAAACACCGUCUAGAAGUCAGGUAGGUUAAAAAAACAAGCCAAGCAUUUCUAUCACUAGUUGCCAUAGCAACAACAUUUAGGUUCUGAAAGUGUCUUCCAUACGUAGCCUAAGGCUGUAGGUUUUUUAUUAUUGACCUUCUACCGAGUGCUAUGUUGUAAACAUUUGCCAAGGGAGAAAUUACUUAUGCAUAUUUAAUAUCCAAAGCUUUGUGAAAUACUAUAUAGAGCCACCUUAAUAAAUGCACUUUAUCCCAAGAGUACAUAACCUGUAGGUUAUUUACAAUUUAAAUUAUCAGAACUGAUGUUGUCAUGGAAAUUACCAACAAUGUUAUUUAAUACAUGCAUACAUGUAUCACUAAUAUUUUGAGAAAUACAUGUACAUGUACAUGUACCGUAAAUUAAAAAGACGACAAAUAAAUCGUUUUGAAUUUCACUGCACUAUCCACAGGUCCACUUACAUUUAGUUGGUGGUUUCUUUCUGUUCUUCUCCCAGUCUCUCAGCUAGUUCAUCAGUUUACGCAUGUUACUCUUGUCACCUUGCUGGCCAAAAAUCUGCUUCACUGAGCAAGGGCGAUAUUUGUCAACCAACAACAAACUAGACUCCUAAACAGUUAAAGACAUCAGUGAAUAGUUGAAUGGCCUCCAUGUGUUAGUGUUACGUUGCUGAUCAAAAAUAAGUAUCUUGACAGACAGUUGGAUGUGAUGAUCCCUGCAAAUGCAAUGUGUGGUCCAGAAAUUCAAAGGGGAAGGGGUUCUCUAAAGCCAAUAUUUUUAGAGGAAAGUGCACGACAAAACUAGAAUUUCCUGGGAGAAUCAAAUUGGGGGGGGGAGGGGGGG